UAGACUUACAACAAUGGCUUUAGUGGCGGACUGGUGAGUAACGCGUAAGGAACCUGCCUUCUAGAGGGGAAUAACAGUGAGAAAUCAUUGCUAAUACCGCAUAUGCCAUAGGUACCACAUGGUACUAGUGGGAAAGGAGCAAUCCACUAAUAGAUGGGCUCGCGUCUGAUUAGAUAGUUGGUGAGGUAACGGCCCACCAAGGCGACGAUCAGUAGCCGGCCUGAGAGGGUGAACGGCCACAUUGGGACUGAGACACGGCCCAAACUCC
rnacentral:rRNA from 1 species